CACGUAGGGCGCAAGCGUUGUCCGGAAUUAUUGGGCGUAAAGAGCUCGUAGGCGGUCUGUUACGUCUGCUGUGAAAACCCAGGGCUUAACCCUGGGCUUGCAGUGGAUACGGGCAGACUAGAGGCAGGUAGGGGAGAAUGGAAUUCCCGGUGUAGCGGUGAAAUGCGUAGAUAUCGUAAGGAAGACCAGUGGCGAAGGCGGGUCUCUGGACAGUUCCUGACGCUGAGGCACGAAGGCCAGGGGAGCAAACGGG
rnacentral:rRNA from 1 species